rnacentral:lncRNA from 12 species
GCAAGGGGACAGUUUCCAUGGAAAUACAAAGUAGCUGUAAACAUAGAGGGGGAAGUGAAGCAGGAAGUGGCUGACCCUGAUGACGCAGUUGAUGUCUUUUGAGAGGACGGGCAUGCAAAUUUGACACGUUUCUACCAUGUGCUUUUCAAUGCUGCAUGUAAAUUUUGCAGGUGCACAAAACAAAACAGUAUUUGAUUAGAUUUUAUGUUGGUGGUGGCACGUAAGUUACCAUUAUCACCGAACAUAACUUUAAUCAUGCCGCUCCAAAAUUGUUAUUUCCCCUUUAUCAAAAGCACAUGCAUUUCAACGUGUUUAAAAUGAGCCACUCCACCCUCAGCUUCAGUUUCCUCUGUCAAACCACAGUAGGACACACAUUUUUGCAUCAGCCGUUACUAUUGCAGUCAUUGGCUGCUAGGGUAACACGAGUCACAAAGAUCGGCAAAGAUUACUGGCUGUCCAAGAUGUCAUGCCACCACUCCCCAAACCCCACACCCACAUUACCACUGCGAACUAAAAGUAAAACAUUAUGUCAUACUUCUGCAUGAGAUAUUUUAGACAUUAUUGCCUGAUGUGUUUUCAGUGGGAUGCUGGUACAGCAAAUUCAUUCAUUUUAUUUUUUUUACACCAGCCACUCACAAUGCCCAUUUAUUGACCUUCCUGGGCAGGGCUCCCAGAGAAAACGGCUAAAUAAACAGGCAGGUUUCCAUGCAUGUGCAGCAGUUAAGCUGGCAGGACGCAAGGGUUCCAGAGGUGGGACGACCGCUGACAAGAUUAGUGGCAUCACGCCGGCACGGCAGUGUGGAGAGAGGGGCAGGAAGGAGCUUUUCCAGACUGCUGACCAAACCUUAUCCGCUGACGGCAACCGGUUGGUGGGGACGGUGUGGCCCUUCCUUCCCCCUCUGAUGGGAAACAUGGAGCACGAACGGGAAACACCCACGGGGUCUCUGAGCUGCAUUCCGGCUGUCAAAAGGAGGCCGUGGAACAUUUAACAGAAAGCAGAAGUACAUCACAUGACCAGUGUAAGAUUUUCCCACCCCGCCUAAGAUGUGACAGAGAACGUUGAAACCCUUGAG